AAGUUGCAAGAACUUUGAAGAGAGAGUUCAAGAGUACGUGAAACUGCUCAGAGGCAAACGGGUGGGCCCUCGAAAUCCCACCGCGGAGGGAUUCAGUCUCGAGGCCGGGACGCCGUUGCCGGUCUUCGGACCCGUAGCCAGGCCGGACGGCGACGGAGAGUCCCGGCGGCGCGACGCACUUCCCUCCGCGCAGAGGACGCCGCAACCGGUCGGGUAGCAGCGAGAGUCGGCCAUGAGGGUCCGCGCCGGCAGGUGGCCGGGGAGACGGCUCCGGCCGCGUUCCCCGGUCGUUAGCCAGCGGACGCCGCGGCGCGACACCCGACCGAGGCCGAAGUUUUCCUUCGGGGAAACCAGCCGCGCCCUGUCGUAGAUCAGCGGGGCCCACGGCACGCGCGUCGCCGCUCAGCCGCGUCACUCCGAGAGUGGUCGGCGUUCGGCGGACGUGGUUGGCCGGGGCGUGCCCGCGGACGGGCGCUCACGGUUGGCGGCGAGCAGGUCGGUCACCCACCCGACCCGUCUUGAAACACGGACCAAGGAGUCUAACAUGUGCGCGAGUCACGGGGUCUUGACUAG
rnacentral:rRNA from 1 species